ensembl:lncRNA
CCCCCAGCUCCAUCCCCCACCCCACCCGACCUGAGCAUCCAGGUAACUUUCAAAAAUCUAGCUCCCGUUGCGAGUUCCGAUCCAGUGUCGCUGGAGUUCCACCACCCGCCCCCAGGCCACAGCCUCACGCAUGCGUCCAGGAAGAUCCAAGUGUUGUGACUCCAGGUGGCAGAAUUGCGCUCGGUUCGGAGAUGAGAUGCUCGAAGCCUCAAGAGAGGCAGGACUAGCCCAAAGUGACGCCGGGGUGAUAACUUUACCUCCGUCUAUUCAUUUUCAGAUUUUGCAGACGGGAUGAGAGCAGAGUGGAGGGGACACUGGUUUGAUCCCUGGUCCAAGAAGAUCCCACAUGCCUUGAAGCAGCUGAGCCCAUGAGACAUAACUACUAAGCCUGUGCUCUAGAGCCCGAGACC